AGCAGUAGCCGCGGUAAUACGAAGGGUGCAAGCGUUACUCGGAAUUACUGGGCGUAAAGCGUGCGUAGGUGGUGGUUUAAGUCCGUUGUGAAAGCCCUGGGCUCAACCUGGGAAUUGCAGUGGAUACUGGCGAGCUAGAGUGUGUCAGAGGAUGGUGGAAUUCCCGGUGUAGCGGUGAAAUGCGUAGAGAUCGGGAGGAACAUCAGUGGCGAAGGCGGCCAUCUGGGACAACACUGACGCUGAGGCACGAAAGCGUGGGGAGCAAACAGGAUUAGAUACCCCAGUAGUCCCUGUCUCUUAUAC
rnacentral:rRNA from 1 species